UCUCUACUGAUAACCAGGUGCCGGCACUGUGAAGGCUGAAGGAUCACAACAGAGAAACAACACCUGCUCACAUUUGCAGCAACUGUCAAAGCGGUUUUCAUAACACAUGCUGCAAGAGAUGGAGCCAUUGAAAGCCGAAGGAACCCUUGACAUGCAAGAGGAGAUUAAAUGUUGACGUGAUGUGGCCAGUGUUUUGAGCAAGUUUCCUUUCAUCUUCGCCCCAGACAAUACUCUGGAGAUAGCAAAUUCCCAUUAUCACCCCAACUGCACAAUCUGGAUUUAUUCAAACAUAUUUUUGUUUCUUUAAUUUUUGCAAACAGUGUGGUCACUAUGUCAUGCAUGGCUGUUUAGCUGAAACUAAGCCAAGAGCUUUUAUUAGGCUCUCUUGCCAUUGAUGUGCAGAUGUGAAGGACGUCAAUUUGCAAUGUUGUCAUUACCAGAAGUGGCUCAGUGGUUAAAUGCAAUGAAAGCAAUGAGAAGAUUCUGAAGUGUUGUUUAACUCAGCUAGGGUCCUGUCGUUCGUGGCAGUUCACCGCGUUGUAAGCAUUUUAAAGAGAGGUAGCCCGCAGUGUAACAGUUGGGUUGGGGUGAAUAUGUAAAUCAGGGCAGGGCAAAUGAAUAGAUUCUUGGAACCUUGUAAACAGGUUUGGAAUUAUCAGAAACCUGUCCUGAGGCUGCUACUGCAGCCAAUAUAGUUUAAUUAGCUGAAAGUAGGCCGUGGUAACCAAUAAUAAUACAAACUAAAUUGAUCAGAUGAUUAUCACCUAUGUGCCCUGUGGUGAAGAUGGUGUACCAGAGUUGCCUACCCUCCCGUAGCCUACGGGAGACUUCCAUUUCAGUGUUUAAUCUCCUGCUGCCCCGCAUUGUAUAAAUCCUGUAUUCUUCACAAACUGCCCAACUCAGCCUGCCAGAGUGCCACUAAGGAGUUUCUUUGCAAGGACAGUGAUUUGAUGUAAUCAUUGUGAUUUGCUGUAGUUGAUCAUGGAGUUCCUACUGACAACUCUCAUUAGCCCCCUUUGUGAGACCCCUGGCAGGAGACAGCAGCACAUGAUCCAUUCUACUAUUAGACUAUUAAUGGAGUCAGGGAGAGCCAUGAAUUAAACUAGCAGUGGUGUAGCUGGGCCCGAUGCAAUAUAUGGGCCUGCAGCUGGUGGAGUUAUAAUGAGUCAGAAUGUGCCACUAACCUAACAAGAAGGGAUGAUCUGCAUCGGCUGCAGGUGGAAGAGGGGCAGGAUUGAGGGUGGGGGGCCCAAAGCAUAUUGUUGUACCUGGGCCCACUACUCACUAAUUCUGCCACUGGGUAAACCACCCUUAUUUCAGGGUGACCUUGCAGCUGAAACCAACAGGACAAAGGUCUCGAUCUCAGACAAUCUGCCAUGACAUGUAGAUAUUAAUCCUGUUGCCUCAAGCUGAGUAUCAGGAUCUAUCCACCAUGCCUACUUACUAUUAUUCAGCGAGACAAUGAUUUCUAUUGCUGCAAUAAGCGAUUUAUAGAAAAUCACUUCUCUACAUGAUACGCCAUUAAAACAAAAUGAUUCCUCUUACAUUACUGCACUACCAGCUACAGUCUGAAGUCAUAUGUGCAAUACCGGUACACACAUCUGCAGUGGAAAUUAGAGU